rnacentral:tRNA from 1 species
GCGAACGUGUGCAACCGGUAGCCGCACCUGUUUCAAAACGCAGGUCCUUGACGUGCGAGUUCGACCCUCGCCGUUCGCACCA